rnacentral:lncRNA from 1 species
AUCCUAGUAAUAUGAUAUGCGUCAGUCAAGAUUGACUUGUAGGGCAUACAUCCAACAAUCUCUCACUUGCACUAAAACCAAUCUGCCAUAUACCAAGCCCCAUCUGCUCAAGACAGGCUUUAGUCUUCGACUAGCUAAGUGACUUACCAGUGGGUUAACCAUAUCUCAUGUAGAGUUUGCUCUCUGUACCUCUAUGUAUUUUCACUUGAGGUAGUCAUGUGUUCUGUUGCUUUAUGUGAUUGG